UCCCUGGUGGCUCAAAAGGUAAAGUGUCUGUCUGCAAUACAGGAGACCCAGGUUCAAUCCCUUGGUAGGGAA
rfam:Ovis aries breed Texel chromosome 15, whole genome shotgun sequence.